CCUACGGGAGGCAGCAGUGAGGAAUAUUGGUCAAUGGACGAGAGUCUGAACCAGCCAAGUAGCGUGAAGGCUGACUGCCCUCUGGGUUGUAAACUUCUUUUAUAAAGGAAUAAAACGAGGCACGUGUGCCUUUUUGCAUGUACUUUAUGAAUAAGGCUCGGCUAACUACGUGCCAGCAGCCGCGGUAAUACGGAGGAUCCGAGCGUUAUCAGGAUUUAUUGGGUGUAAAGGGAGCGUAGAUGGGUUGUUAAGUCAGGUGUGAAAGUUUGCGGCUCAACCGUAAAAUUGCAAUUGAUACUGGCAGGCUUGAGUACAGUAGAGGUAGGCGGAAUUCGUGGUGUAGCGGUGAAAUGCUUAGAUAUCACGAAGAACCCCGAUUGCGAAGGCAGCUUACUAAACUGUGACUGACAUUGAUGCUCGAAAGUGUGGGUAUCAAACAGGAUUAGAUACCCCAGUAGUC
rnacentral:rRNA from 1 species